UCACUACCUCCCCACCACCCCUCAGGACCAAGCUAACGUCACCUCCUGCUUGGUCAUUGCCUGGACCUCCAGACUGCCUCUGGCCUACAACCCAUCAGUCUUCUAUCUCUGGAGCAAAGAGGAGAAUCCAGUCAGACCCUACAUCAGGUGCGCCUUCCCACGUCACGAAAGAGCAAAACCAAAGUCCUAAUGACGUGACAGACACAUGCUUGUUGCUGACCCACUCGCGCUUCUCUGGCCUGUCCCACAACUCUUUGCAAAGAGGGUGCUGGUUUCUUAGGUUGUUGGUGCACACACACACACACACACAC
rnacentral:lncRNA from 1 species